rnacentral:rRNA from 1 species
GCGUGUAGCAGUGAAAUGCGUAGAUAUCGGGAAGAACACCAAUGGCGAAGGCGCUCUGCUGGGCCAUUACUGACGCUCAUGGACGAAAGCCAGGGGAGCGAAAGGGAUUAGAUACCCCUGUAGUCCUGGCCGUAAACGAUGAACACUAGGUGUCGGGGGAAUCGACCCCCUCGGUGUCGUAUCCAACGCGUUAAUUGUUCCCCCUGGGGAGUACGCACGCAAUUGUGAAACUCAAAAGAUUUGACGGACGCCCGCACAAGCGGUGUAAUAUGUGUUUUAAUUCUAUGCCACGCGAAAAACCUUACCACGGUUUGACGUCCUGCAAAUCCCUUGGAAACGAGAGAGUGCCUUCGAGAGCGCAAACACAGGUGCUGCAUGGCUGUCGUCAGCU